CCUACGGGAGGCAGCAGUGAGGAAUAUUGGUCAAUGGACGCAAGUCUGAACCAGCCAUGCCGCGUGCAGGAAGACGGCUCUAUGAGUUGUAAACUGCUUUUGUACGAGGGUAAACGCAGAUACGCGUAUCUGUCUGAAAGUAUCGUACGAAUAAGGAUCGGCUAACUCCGUGCCAGCAGCCGCGGUAAUCCGGAGGAUUCAAGCGUUAUCCGGAUUUAUUGGGUUUAAAGGGUGCGUAGGCGGUCGGAUAAGUUAGAGGUGAAAUCCCGAGGCUCAACUUCGGAAUUGCCUCUAAUACUGUUCGGCUAGAGAGUAGUUGCGGUAGGCGGAAGGUAUGUGGUAGCGGGGAAAUGCUUAGAGAUCAUACAGAACACCGAUUGCGAAGGCAGCUUACCAAGCUACUUCUGACGUUGGGGCACGAAAGCGUGGGGAGCAAACAGGAUUAGAUACCCCAGUAGU
rnacentral:rRNA from 1 species